rnacentral:rRNA from 1 species
CACGAUGCAAGUCGAGGGGCAGCACAAGGAAGCAAUCUGAGGUGGCGACCGGCGCACGGUGAGUAACACGUAUGCAACCUGCCUGUAAGCGGGGAAUAACCCGUUGAAAGACGGACUAAUACCGCAUAAUACUAAAUUACUGCAUGGUAAUUUAUUUAAACAUUUAUGGCUUACAGAUGGGCAUGCGCAUGAUUAGCUAGUUGGAGAGGUAACGGCUCCCCAAGGCAACGAUCAUUAGGGGUUCUGAGAGGAAGGUCCCCCACACUGGUACUGAGACACGGACCAGACUCCUACGGGAGGCAGCAGUGAGGAAUAUUGGUCAAUGGACGAGAGUCUGAACCAGCCAAGUCGCGUGCAGGAAGAAUGUCCUUAAUGGAUUGUAAACUGCUUUUGCAGGGGAAUAAAGUGCAUCACGUGUGAUGUUUUGUAUGUACUCUGCGAAUAAGGAUCGGCUAACUCCGUGCCAGCAGCAGC